GUGCGCAUUUCCUACUCGUGCACCAAUCUCUGCUGUCUUCAUUUUGAACGCCAUCUUCAAGCGAAACGAGUCAGUAUUUUUUAAGGGCCCGCUUAGGAUGCAUCCGAUAUGGACUCUCUCAACAAAAGAAGGUACUCUGACACAAGUUGAAACGGCAAUAGGUAGUUGGGAUGCCUUGAGCAUGCGGAUUUUAUUUGCCCGCGUUGUUGCACUCUCCCAAACUUUUGCUCUCCUCGUAUUCCUAUUUGUUGGAGCCAUUUGUAUCCUGUAUUUCUUUAGUCAACCGCUGAAUUUAUUUUCUGACCUGAGCGGAGAGAAAAGUGAUAAAUAUUUCAAACUCCCGGCGAAAAAUGAUACGAUGGCGAGACAGCACCUCAAGAGUCGAUUACAGCGAGAGUCUGAAGAACUUCCCAUUUAUCCAAACGGGUGGUUCAGCUGGCAGUGGUAUCCAAACGGGGGCUGA
rnacentral:lncRNA from 1 species